AGAGUUUGAUCCUGGCUCAGGAUGAACGCUGGCGGCGUGCUUAACACAUGCAAGUCGAACGAAGCACUUUAUUUGAUUUCCUUCGGGACUGAUUAUUUUGUGACUGAGUGGCGGACGGGUGAGUAACGCGUGGGUAACCUGCCUUGUACAGGGGGAUAACAGUUGGAAACGGCUGCUAAUACCGCAUAAGCGCACGGCAUCGCAUGAUGCAGUGUGAAAAACUCCGGUGGUAUAAGAUGGACCCGCGUUGGAUUAGCUAGUUGGUGAGGUAACGGCCCACCAAGGCGACGAUCCAUAGCCGACCUGAGAGGGUGACCGGCCACAUUGGGACUGAGACACGGCCCAAACUCCUACGGGAGGCAGCAGUGGGGAAUAUUGCACAAUGGGCGAAAGCCUGAUGCAGCGACGCCGCGUGAGCGAAGAAGUAUUUCGGUAUGUAAAGCUCUAUCAGCAGGGAAGAUAAUGACGGUACCUGACUAAGAAGCACCGGCUAAAUACGUGCCAGCAGCCGCGGUAAUACGUAUGGUGCAAGCGUUAUCCGGAUUUACUGGGUGUAAAGGGAGCGCAGGCGGUGCGGCAAGUCUGAUGUGAAAGCCCGGGGCUCAACCCCGGUACUGCAUUGGAAACUGUCGUACUAGAGUGUCGGAGGGGUAAGCGGAAUUCCUAGUGUAGCGGUGAAAUGCGUAGAUAUUAGGAGGAACACCAGUGGCGAAGGCGGCUUACUGGACGAUAACUGACGCUGAGGCUCGAAAGCGUGGGGAGCAAACAGGAUUAGAUACCCUGGUAGUCCACGCCGUAAACGAUGAUUACUAGGUGUGGGGGGACUGACCCCUUCCGUGCCGCAGCAAACGCAAUAAGUAAUCCACCUGGGGAGUACGACCGCAAGGUUGAAACUCAAAGGAAUUGACGGGGGCCCGCACAAGCGGUGGAGCAUGUGGUUUAAUUCGAAGCAACGCGAAGAACCUUACCAAGUCUUGACAU
rnacentral:rRNA from 1 species